UAUUUUAGAGCUCUUGCUGCUUCUAAUCGCCCAAAAAAACGGUGGAUUAUUGGCUCGCUAUUAUUCUUGCUGAAGCCUCGUAAAAAAAAAUAUGCAAUUAUAAACCUAUGCUAUAUCACAAAAACUAAAAGACAUGGAGUAAUGCACAACUUCUGGUCCGCACAUGUCAAUCACAUAUCCCUGGGCCAACCAAAUUUCAACAUUCUGAGGAGUAGCUUCAGAAUCAAAUGAAUAUAGUAUGUCUGGACGCCGAUAUGCUCAUUCAAAUGGCUUAGAAAUCUAUUGUUGGAUUGAGACCAGGUAUGUGAAGUCGUCCACUUCCGUUAGAAUCUGCAUUAGCAUAAAAAUGGGACUGUAGCUCCCCUGAGUGCGAUGACUUGCGGGACUUGGGGUUCUUAGGGGAAGCUGAGUAGUCACUGGAACCACUACUCAUAGAAUACAUUGAUGAAGUUGGCAGUCCAUGAAUCUUUGGCAAGCCAGUUGGAUCAGAGCC
rnacentral:misc_RNA from 1 species